UUCCGGUUGAUCCUGCCGGAGGCUACUGCUAUCGGAGUCCGAUUUAGCCAUGCUAGUCCAUCGAGCCUAGCUCGAGGCAGAUAGCUGAGUAACACGUGGCCAACCUGCCCUGUGGAUGAGGAUAACCUCGCUAACGUGAGGCUAAUACUCAAUAGCAGACGGAAGUGGAAUACUUCCAUCUGUGAAAUGUUCCGACGCCACAGGAUGGGGCCGCGGCUGAUUAGGUCGUUGGUGAGGUAACGGCUCACCAAGCCAAUAAUCAGUAGCAGCCGUGAGAGCGGGAGCUGUCAGUCGUGUUCUGAGACAAGAACACGGACCCUACGGGGUGCAGCAGGCACGAAACCUUUACAAUGCACGCAAGUGCGAUAAGGGGACUCCGAGUGCGGUCUUCCUACACGGAAGGCCGCUUUUCUGCACUGUAAGAAGGUGCCGGAACAAGGGGUGGGCAACACUGCUGCCAGCCGCCGCGGU
rnacentral:rRNA from 1 species